rfam:Triticum aestivum genome assembly, contig: Triticum_aestivum_CS42_TGACv1_scaffold_228298_3B
UAUAUAUUGCCUCCGUCCAGAAAUACUUGUCCUCAAAAUGGAUAAAAUGAAUGUAUCUAUAACUAAGAUAAGUCUAGAUACAACCAUGUCGAGGACAAGCAUUUUCGAAUGGAGGGAGUACUAU